rnacentral:rRNA from 1 species
GACGAACGCUGGCGGCGUGCUUAACACAUGCAAGUCGAACGGAAAGGCCCUGCUUUUGUGGGGUGCUCGAGUGGAGAACGGGUGAGUAACACGAGAGUAACCUGCCCAUGACUUUGGGAUAACUUCAGGAAACUGGGGCUAAUACCGGAUAGGAGCUCCUGCUGCAUGGUGGGGGUUGGAAAGUUUCGGCGGUUGGGGAUGGACUCGCGGCUUAUCAGCUUGUUGGUGGGGUAGUGGCUUACCAAGGCUUUGACGGGUAGCCGGCCUGAGAGGGUGACCGGCCACAUUGGGACUGAGAUACGGCCCAGACUCCUACGGGAGGCAGCAGUGGGGAAUAUUGCACAAUGGGCGGAAGCCUGAUGCAGCAACGCCGCGUGCGGGAUGACGGCCUUCGGGUUGUAAACCGCUUUCGCCUGUGACGAAGCGUGAGUGACGGUAAUGGGUGAAGAAGCACCGGCUAACUACGUG